AUGAAUUCCACUCCAAGACACUGGUUGUGUCCCAAAUGACAUCCUAUUUCCAUUUGAGAAAUAUUGAUGGAUGAAGUGUUUGGUGAUACAAAGCACAACCUUCCCUUUCAAAAGCCUGGCUCUGCCCUUCUUAAAACAAAACACCAAUCACAGUCCUGUCCUUCUUAAGUCAACCAUGUAACUGAAUGGAUGGUUUGAGGAUUAUGAUUGUCCCUGGGCUUUUUUGAUCAGGUUUUAACUUUAGAGGACAGAGUCAGGGAGAGGUCAGGGAGAGGUCAGAGAGAGGUCAGAGAGAGGUCAGAGAGAGAUCAGAGGAAGGCAGAGAGAGGUCAGGGAGAGGUCAGAGAGAGGUCAGGGAGAGGUCAGGGAGAGGUCAGAGGAAGGCAGAGGAGGUCAGAGAGAGGUCAGAGGAAGGCAGAGAGAGGUCAGAGGAAGGCAGAGAGAGGUCAGAGGAAGGCAGAGAGGUCACAGGAAGGCAGAGAGAGGUCAGAAAGAGGUCAGAGGAAGGCAGAGAGAGGUCAGAGGAAGGCAGAGAGAGGUCAGAGAGAGGUCAGAGGAAGGCAGAGAGAGGUCAGAGGAGAGGUCAGAGGAGAGACGUGAGGGAGGCAGAGAGAGGUCAGAGAGAGGUCAGAGAGAGGUCAGAGGAAGGCAGAGAGAGGUCAGAGAGAGGUCAGAGAGAGGUCAGAGGAAGGCAGAGAGAGGUCAGAGAGAGGUCAGAGGAAGGCAGAGAGAGGUCAGAGAGAGGUCAGAGGAAGGCAGAGAGAGGUCAGAGAGAGGUCAGAGGAAGGCAGAGAGAGGUCAGAGAGAGGUCAGAGGAAGGCAGAGAGAGGUCAGAGAGAGGUCAGAGGAAGGCAGAGAGAGGUCAGAGAGAGGUCAGAGGAAGGCAGAGAGAGGUCAGAGAGAGGUCAGAGGAGGAUUGGAGUGAGAUUCUUAUGGUGUUUGGAAGAGAUUCUGGGGAGAAUUGAAAGAGAACCGGUGAUAUUCUUGUUAUUUUCAGUGUUAUAAAAAGUGAAUUUCCUCCACUAAACACUUCUAAUUCUUUAAAUGUAUUUUUUUAAUCUCUUUGCUGUUUUUAAAACUCUUCAUCCUGUCAUUUAGACUGAUUUGAUGGUG
rnacentral:lncRNA from 1 species